GUCCUGAUAGGAUUGUCCUGUCCCGUCCAUGGAGAAGCUCCCAUUCAUUAACUGUCCGCCUGUAACGUCCCCCACGUUGCCAUACAUCCUAUUGGUGUGGCCAAGUUCUGAGAGAAUCUGAUCCUCUGUGGACAAAAGAACGGAGAUUUAUUGUCAGCUACCAGGACUCCGAUGGUCCCUGCUCUUCACAACCUAGGAAUACACGUGACCAGGAAGAUGCCCAAGGACGGCAGCAGCCUUGCAGCCAAGCACGGAUCAGACACACCGAUGUGGCAGCCUGACAUCCGGAGGUCAGCCCAGGUGGUGACUUCAACAGCCCAGAUGAGAUUGAGUGGCUUUUCACAUCCGGCCUAGAAGGAAAAAGGGCCUGUGGAGCGUGUCCUCCCACCACCCGGACUGGAGGAACGGCUGGCUCUAGGGGACCUUGGGAGUAGGCCAGUGUCCCAGCAAAGGGUAAGAAGAGGCAGGAGAGGGGCUAGGGGCACAAGGCUGGGACCGGGUCAUCUGUUCACAGCUGUGUGGGCUGCUUAGGGGGAGGUCAUGGGGCCACAGAACAGGGCCUGGCCCAGUCCCAGCUUCCAGUCCAGACCUGAGCAAUCUUGUUUUCUACUCCUGUCACGUGGUAAAGGGCCACUACCAUUCCCCCGCCCUUCACUGCAAUCCUUGAGGAAAAGCCUGUGUUCAGGAGGGAGUUGCCAAGGCCUUAAGAAAGAUCCCUCCUGAAUGCCAGGGAUGAUGGAUUCCCAGGGGACUUUCCUAAGGCCUCAGCCUGGCCCCUCCAGCCCUGCUCACCUCGGAAGCUCAGCUCACUGUCACUAACCCCACAGUCCUCUGCAGAGCUCUCCUUCUCCUGCUUGCUGCCGCCCCGGCUCCUCUUGACGCUCUUAUAGAACUGCCCCCAGCGGUGCCGCCCCGCGUCCUUCUUCAGGCGUUUCUCUUUGGCCCUUCUGUUCUGAAACCAAACCUGCCACACAAGCAUAAGGGACAUGCUCAGCGGGGGUCCACCAUGAAUCCAAAGCCCCCAGGACCCCCAAGGUGGGCGGCUGGAAGCCGACUGAAGCCGGAAGGGAGCACCGGUCUGGUAGCACAGUGUGUCCCUGCCCCUUCUCCCUGGCCUCAGAACUCUGCCUUCAGUUCUGGCAAAAGCCCUGGGUUUGUGGCCCUGAGCCCAACCACCAGUGAGGUGAUGUCACUCAUGCUUCCUGCUCAGGACACCUUCCACCCCUGUCCCAGGCCUGGGAUCCCCCAAGGGCACUGGAGUGCUGGCAUCUCACCUGUACGACCCUCAUGUCCAGGCCUGUCUCUGAGGACAGCUGCUCCCUCACGUGCCGGGCAGGCUUGGGGGAGUUUUUGUAUGCAUUCUUUAAUGUCUCCAGCUGCUUGGCGGUGAUGGUGGUCCGCGGCCGCUUAGCUCCAGCCUCUGAGUCAUCUGCAUGGAAAAACCACUGCUUACUAGGUUUGGCCUAGCUGCAGCAGCUACGCCUCCUUCCCCACCCUCCUUCCUUCCUUUCUGCACCUACGCCUGCCUGCUGUAGGCAGGGCAGUGGGAGGCACAGGGGAGAGUGAAGAGGUUCCCCACUCCCGCGGCACCGACUGCUGCACCACAGGCCUUCCCAAGCCACUGAAAAGGGAAGACCACAGUCCUUUCUCUGCUCAGCUCCCUGCCUCUCCCCUCCCAUGCCAGCCUAGUUGCACAGAAGUCCCAUUAGAUUGAAUGAAUGUACCCAGUUCCACACAUGUCCCUGUCAUGACAAACACUCUGCUCACACGUCCUUGUGAGAUACUGCCAGAGCUGUGAAGGUGAACAGCCAGGGUGAAAUCCGCGUUCAAAGCCACCCCGGAAGCCCUCCCCUCUCUCUCAACAGGAGUCUCCCAUUUCCCCACAGCCGCGUUGCCUUUGCCCUGGUGUCGCUGGGCUCACAGCCAGGGGUGAGUUCACACACCUAGUAGUGUCUAAGCAGGUUUCUAAACUAUGGGUGAGAACCCACUCGUGGGCUGUAAAGUCAACUUAGUGGAUCAGAACUGAAAGAGGAAAUCAGAUAAAGAGAAUGGAACAAAAUAAUAGAAUAGCAGGAUUGCUUCAUGAACUUGUUUACUUUUUAGUGUAUGAAUGUGUAUACCAAGAUGAAAUGUAAAGUGAGUGUUUUUACUGUGAAUUGUCAAAAUUUUUUGAAAAACACUGAUCUAAGGUACGUGCGGGACAACACAUUGACUGAUGAACACAAAGUCCUCUACAGAUUUGGAGCGAAAAGCUCAAGUUCCUGUUAAAGUCUCGUUGGUUCCAUUUAGCGUCAGGCAGAGGCGCGGGUGCGUCCGGUGGCACAGGUAAGUGGGAAGGUGUGUUUCUUCUCCCAGCACCCAGCUCUCUCCCCUUCUCUGCACAGUGCCCCUGGAGCACACAAAGAAUAAAGUCGGCAGCUGGCCUGGGCCGCUCUCUGCUUGCUCACCUGUGCGCCCCUUAGUGUCUCUGUGACAUUCCUGACUUCCUCUCUGUCUCUGCUCUGUUCUUUCCAUUCAAGAAAUCCCUCUCUGAGGAUCAAUAAUAACCGACAUGUUAGCACAUAUCAUGUACUGGUGUUGACUGAGGACUUUCUAUGCAUUUGGCCCUCGCCAUCGACAGGGCUCUCCCUGGCGUCAGCAGACCUGGCUUCAAUGUUCUUGUUGAGUGAGUAACUUGGGCCAGUAUCUCACCUCCCCUUGGAAGCCCAGGGUACAACACGGCCUGCCCUGGUCUUGGCAGGCCCGAGAGGAGUGAAGCAGCUGUGUGCCCAGGACAUGCAUGCACACAGUGAGGGGACGCGCCCCGUGCCUUCCCUUCUCGGGCUGUUUUCUUCUCUCGUGUGGCCACUCAUCCUGGAACUGCUGUGGCCCAACUCCCUCCCUGAAGCCCUGGACCUGAAGGGAAGGGAUUCUGGAGCCCCUGCCACAGAGACUGCACUACUCAGAGUCAGUCCAAAAGACAGAGGGAAACCUCCAAAACUCCUUCCUCUUCAUUCUGAGGAGUCAGUCCCUUCUGUGCAUAUUGGUAGAGUCUAGACAGGAGUGCCUGAUGCAGCUUUGAAUUAUGCAAAUGAGAAAUCGCGCACAAGUCCCCAUAUAGAAAAUGUGAAAUAA